CUCUCUCUCUCUCUCUCUCUACAUUUCAAUGUAUCACUUGUUUAUACAUUGCUUUGAUAUUAAGAGUUCAACCAUGCUUGUUGGUAUGCAAGUUAGAUUAUGUCGUACUAAAAAUACAGGAGAAAUAUUUGCCUUGAAGAAAUUAAGGAAGUUAGAUAUGCUCAGGCAGGGACAGGUUGAGCAUGUUCGCUUUGAGAGGAAUUUGCUUGUAGAGGUUGACAGUCAGUGUGUAGUGAAACUUUUUAUUCUUUCCAAGAUUCAGAUUUUUUGUACCUUAUCAUGGAAUAUUUAGCUGGUGUGGACACCAUGACCUUGCUGAUGAGAGAGGAUAUUCUUUCUGAAGAUGUUGCCAGAUUCUACAUUACUGAAAGUAUUCUUGUUAUACAUUCGAUUCAUUAACACAAUUAUGUACAUAGGUACCAAUACAUGUGAUUGCAGUGUACUACCUUGUGUAUUGGAAAAUAUUCCUACUCUCCAAUUUCAUACUAUCUUGUGUGUUGGAGAGUGUAGCGUCUCUUUUUAAAUAUGUGGGUACACAAGACUAUUCCUCAAAUCAAUUUUGAAACAAAUACUUGGACUGCAUAGGUAGUGCCAAGUCUUUCUUUCCU